rnacentral:rRNA from 1 species
CCUACGGGAGGCAGCAGUAGGGGAUAUUGCACAAUGGGCGAAACCCUGAUGUAGCAACGCCGCGUGUGGGAAGAAGGUUUUCGGAUUGUAAAACACUGUUCUUGGGGAAGAUCAUGAGGGUAACCAACGAUAAAGCUCUUGCCAACUACGUGCCAGCAGCCGCGGUAAUACGUAGGGAGAGAGCGUUCGCCGGAUUUACUGGGCGUAAAGGUUGCGGAGGCGGUCUGGCAAGUCAGACGGGAAAGCCACCGGCUCAACCUGUGGACGUCGUUGGAAACUGGGGGGCUUGAGUGAAGUAGAGGUAGGUGGAAUUCCGGGUGUAGCGGUGAAAUGCGCAGAGAUAGGGAGGAACACCAGUGGCGAAGGCGACCUUCUGGUCUUUAACUGACGCUGAGGUACGAAAGCAUGGGUAGCAAACAGGAUUAGAUACCCGAGUAGUC